rnacentral:lncRNA from 10 species
CUCCAAAGUAAUGCUGAUAACCACAGUGAGCACCAAAGCCAAAUGCCAAAAACCAAAAAGGAUGGCAAGAAUCAACCACAGGGGACAUCAGAGGACCACAGGUGGAGGAGAAGAGGCGAAAGUGGAAGCAACACAGGAUUACUCUGGAUGCUAUGCUGAGAAGAAACUGAAGACAAUGGUGGAAGUGGGAAAGCUUAUGACUCAGAAUAACUAUUUCUAAUAACAAAUUUUAAGUUCUCUUCAUGAGCAGCUGACACAAAUCUUCAACUCAUUGAUGAUGGCAUCUGACUGUUCCAGGUAUUAAGAAGAGAGAAAGAAUCUGAGAAAUUAUGGCGUACUCAACUGUGGACAGCUGAAAGUCUGGCAUAGCGUGCCCUCAUCAUCACAAAUGGGCUCGCAUUACAAGCUACACUUAUUUGACAACUAUCAGCAUUUGUCAACCGGCACUCAGAUUUGAAGACUCAUUUCACAGCUGGAGCAAGAGAAGACAGGAAGGAAAAAUCAGAGUAAGGUUUCAAUGAGUUUCUGCAAAUUCUCAGAAGUUUUGCUGCCACUCAGUGUCACAAUAACAAAAAG